rnacentral:rRNA from 1 species
AGAGUUUGAUCCUGGCUCAGGAUGAACGCUGGCGGCGUGCUUAACACAUGCAAGUCGAACGAGAGAAGAUCGGUGCUUGCACUGAUCCGAUCGAGUGGCGGACGGGUGAGUAACGCGUGGGUAACCUGCCUCAUACAGGGGAAUAACAGUUGGAAACGGCUGCUAAAACCGCAUAAGCGCACAGUAUCGCAUGAUACAGUGUGAAAAACUCCGGUGGUAUGAGAUGGACCCGCGUCUGAUUAGCUAGUUGGUGAGGUAACGGCCACCAAGGCAACGAUCAGUAGCCGGCCUGAGAGGGUGAACGGCCACAUUGGGACUGAGACACGGGCCCAAAUCCUACGGGAGCA